UGCGUAGGUGGCGCCGUAAGUCAGGUGUGAAAUUUCGGAGCUUAACUCCGAAACUGCAUUUGAUACUGCGGUGCUUGAGGACUGGGAGAGGAGACUGGAAUUCACGGUGUAGCAGUGAAAUGCGUAGAUAUCGUGAGGAAGACCAGUGGCGAAGGCGGGUCUCUGGACAGUUCCUGACACUGAGGCAGGCCAGGGGAGGCGAAACG
rnacentral:rRNA from 1 species